rnacentral:lncRNA from 1 species
UUUUAGACUUUCUCUCUGUGCAAUGCCUGUCUGUGAGGUUCUGUGUUUGUUCCUAUCUGCUGCUGGAGGCAGCCUGUCUGGUUAUGAAACAGGAUCAAUGUUUCCAGGCUUCCAAAGUUAACUGAGGUCCAAUGGCUCUUCAGGAACACUCUCAGUCCUUGGACAGAUUGGAAGAGCUGAGCUACCCACUCUGCCUCAACCACAGAACAGAGACUGGCCAUUACUAUUUCGACUUAGCUAGUUUAAUAAGUUCUUCAUAUCUUGUUCUCCUAGUGAAUUUUGAUUAAGGC